rnacentral:lncRNA from 1 species
UGAAAGCUGAAUCAAAAUUCGAUUGAUAAAGCACUAGGGUAUAUCUGAUUUCACUUGGACCAAUUAUCAAUUCCAGCUAUUUUGAUUAAUAAUCCAAAUUUAAUUAUUAAUGCAAGGAUAAAUAAUCUUAAAUUAUUUAAUAAUCUCUCCCGAGUCUUAUUAAAUAUACUAAUUAAAACCUAUAAUCUAUCUUCCAAUAGUAAAAUAGAUUUCAAUUAGUUCAAUAAGCACAGUGAUUAUUUCCA